rnacentral:ncRNA from 1 species
AAUGGUAGAGGUGCGGUAUUUAUCAGUAAUCCGGCUCAUUAAAAAGGCUUUUAACCGGGUGAAAGGAAACGCCGCCGAAACGUACGGAGGUUAUGCCUUUAUUCGUCCGUCCGUUGGGUUGCAGCAGAAUAUGCUGCAGACUGUCACUUUUGUGAAGCGCUAUCCG